rnacentral:rRNA from 1 species
GAUGAACGCUGGCGGCGUGCCUAAUACAUGCAAGUCGAGCGAACGGACGAGAAGCUUGCUUCUCUGAUGUUAGCGGCGGACGGGUGAGUAACACGUGGAUAACCUACCUAUAAGACUGGGAUAACUUCGGGAAACCGGAGCUAAUACCGGAUAAUAUUUUGAACCGCAUGGUUCAAAAGUGAAAGACGGUCUUGCUGUCACUUAUAGAUGGAUCCGCGCCGCAUUAGCUAGUUGGUAAGGUAACGGCUUACCAAGGCAACGAUGCGUAGCCGACCUGAGAGGGUGAUCGGCCACACUGGAACUGAGACACGGUCCAGACUCCUACGGGAGGCAGCAGUAGGGAAUCUUCCGCAAUGGGCGAAAGCCUGACGGAGCAACGCCGCGUGAGUGAUGAAGGUCUUCGGAUCGUAAAACUCUGUUAUUAGGGAAGAACAAAUGUGUAAGUAACUAUGCACGUCUUGACGGUACCUAAUCAGAAAGCCACGGCUAACUACGUGCCAGCAGCCGCGGUAAUACGUAGGUGGCAAGCGUUAUCCGGAAUUAUUGGGCGUAAAGCGCGCGUAGGCGGUUUUUUAAGUCUGAUGUGAAAGCCCACGGCUCAACCGUGGAGGGUCAUCGGAAACUGGAAAACUUGAGUGCAGAAGAGGAAAGUGGAAUUCCAUGUGUAGCGGUGAAAUGCGCAGAGAUAUGGAGGAACACCAGUGGCGAAGGCGACUUUCUGGUCUGUAACUGACGCUGAUGUGCGAAAGCGUGGGGAUCAAACAGGAUUAGAUACCCUGGUAGUCCACGCCGUAAACGAUGAGUGCUAAGUGUUAGGGGGUUUCCGCCCCUUAGUGCUGCAGCUAACGCAUUAAGCACUCCGCCUGGGGAGUACGACCGCAAGGUUGAAACUCAAAGGAAUUGACGGGGACCCGCACAAGCGGUGGAGCAUGUGGUUUAAUUCGAAGCAACGCGAAGAACCUUACCAAAUCUUGACAUCCUCUGACCCCUCUAGAGAUAGAGUUUUCCCCUUCGGGGGACAGAGUGACAGGUGGUGCAUGGUUGUCGUCAGCUCGUGUCGUGAGAUGUUGGGUUAAGUCCCGCAACGAGCGCAACCCUUAAGCUUAGUUGCCAUCAUUAAGUUGGGCACUCUAAGUUGACUGCCGGUGACAAACCGGAGGAAGGUGGGGAUGACGUCAAAUCAUCAUGCCCCUUAUGAUUUGGGCUACACACGUGCUACAAUGGACAAUACAAAGGGCAGCGAAACCGCGAGGUCAAGCAAAUCCCAUAAAGUUGUUCUCAGUUCGGAUUGUAGUCUGCAACUCGACUAUAUGAAGCUGGAAUCGCUAGUAAUCGUAGAUCAGCAUGCUACGGUGAAUACGUUCCCGGGUCU